AGACGGUAAUCGAUCCUCUUCAGCAACUUCACCUUGUGCCUAUUUGAGAACUGCGUAUCAGAACUGCUUCAACCGGUAAAAAACCAAUCUUUUUCUCGUUUUUGUGUAUAUUGUUUUAAUAUUAAUUAAAUUUCAGAAAAUAUGGAAUUGUUUAGCUGCUGAGGGUUUUGAUCUCUUAAAUUGGCUUCAACAUCUAUGUGUAAAUGGUAUUCAGAGAAAUUCCUAAAAGGGCAGUGGGAUGAAGAAGAGUGCAUUUUUGAGUGGGAGAAAUACAGACAGUCUAGUCUGUAUUUGUAACUUGUUCUUGGAAGCUGAUGGUGUGUUGGAUUUGAAUGAUCAAGCUGAAUUCAAGAGCAAAACUGGUGUUUCUUAUGAGAUGAAAUGCUGGAAAUUUAAUGAAGUUUUCGUUUUUCGUGUGGUAGUUUUUUGUGGAUUAGUCAUUGAUUCCAACUGAUUAUGUACAUAUGUAGUGUUUAAGAAGUUGUUCUUUAUCAUAUGUUUUGGAGAUUCGUGAGCCUUGAAUGAGUUCGAUUCAGUUAUAAAGUUCGAUUAUAGAGUAGCAUUUCUAGGUAUGAAAUUGAAAGACAAUCUAGGGAUCGUCACCUUUAUUUUAAUAUGUUUUGUAUCAUCAUAGAAGACGAUAACAUUGUCAUGUUACAUGGAAA